GAUGAAGAACGCAGCGAAAUGCGAUAAGUAGUGUGAAUUGCAGAAUUCAGUGAAUCAUCGAAUCUUUGAACGCACAUUGCGCCCCUUGGUAUUCCAUGGGGCAUGCCUGUUCGAGCGUCAUUUGUACCUUCAAGCUCUGCUUGGUGUUGGGUGUUUGUCUCGCCUUGCGCGUAGACUCGCCUUAAAACAAUUGGCAGCCGACGUACUGAUUUCGGAGCGCAGUACAUCUCGCGCUUUGCACUCAUAACGACGACGUCCAAAAGUACUUUUUACACUCUUGACCUCGGAUCAGGUAGGGAUACCCGCUGAACUUAAGCAUAUCAAUAAGCGGAGGA
rnacentral:misc_RNA from 1 species